CGAUUCUGGCUCAGGAUGAACGCUGGCGGCGUGCUUAACACAUGCAAGUCGAACGAAGCAUUUAGCGGAACAUUUCGGAUGGGAAGUUAAAAUGACUGAGUGGCGGACGGGUGAGUAACGCGUGGAUAACCUACCAUAUACAGGGGGACAACAGUUGGAAACGACUGCUAAUACCGCAUAAGCGCACAGUGCCGCAUGGCACGGUGUAGAAAAACUCCGGUGGUAUAUGAUGGAUCCGCGUCUGAUUAGCUAGUUGGUGAGGUAACGGCCCACCAAGGCAACGAUCAGUAGCCGACCUGAGAGGGUGACCGGCCACAUUGGGACUGAGACACGGACCCAAACUCCUACGGGAGGCAGCAGGUGGGGAAUAUUGCACAAUGGGACGAAAGCCUGAUGCAAGCGACGCCGCGUGAGCGAAGAAGUUAUUUCGGUAUAGUAAAGCUCUAUCAGCGAGGGAAAGAAAAUGACGGUACCUGACUAAGAACGCCCCGGCUAACUACGUGCCAGCCGCUGC
rnacentral:rRNA from 1 species